rnacentral:rRNA from 1 species
GAUGAACGCUAGCGGCAGGCUUAAUACAUGCAAGUCGAACGGCAAGGUCUCUUCGGAGAUACACGAGUGGCGCACGGGUGCGUAACGCGUAUGCAACCUACCUUUAACUGGGAAAUAGCCCCGAGAAAUCGGGAUUAAUGUCCCAUAUUAUUUUCUGAAUGCAUAUUUGGAAAAUGAAAGCUCCGGCGGUUAAAGAUGGGCAUGCGUGACAUUAGCUAGUUGGUGAGGUAACGGCCCACCAAGGCGACGAUGUCUAGGGGUCCUGAGAGGGUUAACCCCCAAACUGGUACUGAGACACGGACCAGACUCCUACGGGAGGCAGCAGUAAGGAAUAUUGGGCAAUGGACGCAAGUCUGACCCAGCCAUGCCGCGUGAAGGAUGAAUGUCCUAUGGAUUGUAAACUUCUUUUGUGCAAGAAAAACCCCUCGGUUUCGUACCGGGGCUGAUUGUAUUGCACGAAUAAGCAUCGGCUAACUCCGUGCCAGCAGCCGCAGUAAUAC